GACGAACCGUGCGAACGUUAUUCGGAAUCACUGGGCUUAAAGCGCGUGUAGGCGGGAGGGCACGUCCGUCGCUGAAAUCCCCCGGCUCAACCGGGGAACGGGCGCGGAUACGACCUUCCUGGAGGGGCGUAGGGGGACCUGGAACUUCCGGUGGAGCGGUGAAAUGCGUAGAGAGUCGGAAAGAACACCAACGGCGAAAGCACUCUGCUGGGCCGACACUGACACUGGAGAGACGAAAAGCUAGGGGAGCGAAUGGG
rnacentral:rRNA from 1 species